UUGGAGGGCAAGUCUGGUGCCAGCAGCCGCGGUAAUUCCAGCUCCAAUAGCGUAUAUUAAAGUUGUUGCAGUUAAAAAGCUCGUAGUUGAAUUUCGGGAUUGACGUGAUGGUCAUGCCUUAAGGGGUAUGAACUGUUGCUGUUGAUUUCUCACCUUCUGGAGAAACUUGAUGUCCUUAAUUGGGUGUCUUGCGGAUCCAGGACCUUUACCUUGAAAAAAUCAGAGUGUUUAAAGCAGGCAUUUUUGCUCGAAUACAUUAGCAUGGAAUAAUAGAAUAGGACGGCAUGGUUCUAUUUUGUUGGUUUCUAGGAUCACCGUAAUGAUUAAUAGGGAUAGUUGGGGGCAUUAGUAUUCAAUUGUCAGAGGUGAAAUUCUUGGAUUUAUUGAAGACUAACUACUGCGAAAGCAUUUGCCAAGGAUGUUUUCAUUAAUCAAGAACGAAAGUUAGGGGAUCGAAGACGAUCAGAUACCGUCGUAGUCUUAACCAUAAACUAUGCCGACUAGGAAUCAGACGAUGUUAAUUUUUUAAUGACUCGUUUGGCACCUUACGGGAAACCAAAGUGUUUGGGUUC
rnacentral:rRNA from 1 species